rnacentral:rRNA from 1 species
UACAGAGGGUGCGAGCGUUGUCCGGAAUCACUGGGCGUAAAGGGCGCGUAGGCGGCGCGGUAAGCGUGCGGUGAAAGCCCGGGCUCAACCCCGGGUCGGCCGUGCGGACUGCCGGGCUGGAGCACUGUAGAGGCAGGUGGAAUUCCGGGUGUAGCGGUGGAAUGCGUAGAGAUCCGGAAGAACACCGAUGGCGAAGGCAGCCCCCUGGGCUAACACUGGACGCUCAUGCACGAAAGCGUGGGGAGCAAACAGG